rnacentral:lncRNA from 1 species
AGCAAACUUUGGUUUGCACUAGAUCCCAGGCAGGCUCUUGGGGAUCCUCUACACAAGGACCGGGCUAUCACUGACCUCUUAACCUGUGACAUCGUGUCACCUUCAGAGACAUUUGUGUCCCCAGAGGCUCAGCAUUGCCAGAGCAGCAGGAAAGUGGGGCACAUCUUGCGUUGGAAGCAUUUAGCAGAGCCUUCCCGAUUGUUCUUGGAGCGACAUCAGACAAGAGUAGUACAUAAGUGUGUGAGAAACCAGAAGAAAGAGAAGCAGAAGGCCCUAAACAACAACAAGUUAACACCAUGAGAGUCUGGAUGCUGGACAUGCAGAAAGAAAGUGAUCAGUGACAGUCAAUGAAGUGGUAAGUGCCAUGCUUUUGCUUGCAGUACUGAGAAUUUAACAGCUGGUACCCAGCAGUUGGGUCAUCAGAUUAGCAAUACACUGCCUUCAGAGAU